rnacentral:rRNA from 1 species
AUUGAACGCUGGCGGCAGGCCUAACACAUGCAAGUCGAGCGAGCGGCGGACGGGUGAGUAAUGUCUGGGAACCUGCCUGAUGGAGGGGGGUAACUACUGGAAACGGUAGCUAAUACCGCAUACUAAUAGAUGAGCCUAAGUCGGAUUAGCUAGUAGGUGGGGUAACGGCUCACCUAGGCGACGAUCCCUAGCUGGUCUGAGAGGAUGACCAGCCACACUGGAAAUGAGACACGGUCCAGAUUCCUACGGGAGGCAGCAGGGGGGAAUAUUGCACAAUGGGCGCAAGCCUGAUGCAGCCAGGCCGCGUGUGUGAAGAAGGCCUUCGGGUUGUAAAGCACUUUCAGCGGGGAGGCGUUACCCGCAGAAGAAGCACCGGCUAACUCCGUGCCAGCCGCCGCGGUAAUUC